GACGAACGCUGGCGGCGUGCUUAACACAUGCAAGUCGAACGGAAAGGCCCUGCUUUUGUGGGGUGCCCGAGUGGCGAACGGGUGAGUAACACGUGAGUAACCUGCCCUUGACUUUGGGAUAACUUCAGGAAACCGGGGCUAAUACCGGAUAGGAGCUCCUGCUGCAUGGUGGGGGUUGGAAAGUUUCGGCGGUUGGGGAUGGACUCGCGGCUUAUCAGCUAGUUGGUGGGGUAGUGGCUUACCAAGGGUUUGACGGGUAGCCGGCCUGGGAGGGUGACCGGCCACAUUGGGCCUGAGAUACGGACCAGACUCCUACGGGAGGCAGCAGUGGGGAAUAUUGACCAAUGGGCGGAAGCCUGAUGCAGCAACGCCGCGUGCGGGAUGACGGCCUUCGGGUUGUAAACCGCUUUCGCCUGUGACGAAGCGUGAGUGACGGUAAUGGGUAAAGAAGCACCGGCUAACUACGUG
rnacentral:rRNA from 1 species